CUAGAUUGCGGAUCCGCGGCCGCAGAGUUUGAUCAUGGCUCAGGACGAACGCUCGAGGCGUGCCUAACACAUGCAAGUCGAGCGAAGUGAUCCGGACUGAAGUUUUCGGACUAAGCGAAGGAUCAUCUUAGCGGCGGACGGGUGAGUAACGCGUGAGAAACCUGCCUUUCACAAAGGGAUAGCCUCGGGAAACUGGGAUUAAUACCUUAUGAUACUUAUCACUCGCAUGGGAGAUAAGUCAAAGCGAAUAAGCGGUGAAAGAUGGUCUCGCGUCCUAUUAGCUAGUUGGUGAGGUAACGGCUCACCAAGGCCUCGAUAGGUAGCCGGCCUGAGAGGGUGAACGGCCACACUGGAACAGAGACACGGUCCAGACUCCUACGGGAGGCAGCAGUGGGGAAUAUUGCACAAUGGAGGAAACUCUGAUGCAGCGACGCCGCGUGAAUGAUGAAGGCCUUCGGGUUGUAAAGUUCUGUCCUAGGGGAAGAUAAUGACGGUACCCAAGGAGGAAGCCCCGGCUAACUACGUGCCAGCAGCCGCGGUAAUACGUAGGGGGGCGAGCGUUGUCCGGAAUUAUUGGGCGUAAAGGGUUCGCAGGCGGUCUGAUAAGUCAGAUGUGAAAGGCGUAGGCUUUAACCUAUGUA
rnacentral:rRNA from 1 species